CUUUCCCUUAAAGGCGUUGCCAGUGUGGAUGCUGUGUCACAUGGGCAUCAAUAGGUGGCAGAAAGGAGAGAGGCUAUGUCUUUGCUCAAUGUUCCAAUCUAUGAAUAUCCGAACAAUUAGUUCCUGAAGAA
ensembl:snoRNA Gm23481 predicted gene, 23481